rnacentral:rRNA from 1 species
AACUGGGAACCGACCAGCAUGAGAAUCGGGCGACCCUAUAGAAGCAUCCUCAAUGGAUGACUGGGCACAAGUCCCCUGGAACGGGUGCUGAAGAGGGCGAGCGCCCUGUCGUGCUCGGACCUUGCCGCACUACAAAGCACUGUCGGCAAGUCGGGUUGUUUGGAAAUGUAGCCCUAAUUGGGCGGUAAAUUCCAUCCAAAGUUAAACACUGGCUAGAGACCGAUAGCAAACAAGCGACCCCAGG